rnacentral:rRNA from 1 species
AUUGAACGCUGGCGGCAGGCCUAACACAUGCAAGUCGAGCGGAUGAAGGGAGCUUGCUCCUGGAUUCAGCGGCGGACGGGUGAGUAAUGCCUAGGAAUCUGCCUGGUAGUGGGGGAUAACGUCCGGAAACGGGCGCUAAUACCGCAUACGUCCUGAGGGAGAAAGUGGGGGAUCUUCGGACCUCACGCUAUCAGAUGAGCCUAGGUCGGAUUAGCUAGUUGGUGGGGUAAAGGCCUACCAAGGCGACGAUCCGUAACUGGUCUGAGAGGAUGAUCAGACACACUGGAACUGAGACACGGGCCAGACUCCUACGGAAGGCGACAGUGGGGAAUAUUGGACAAUGGGCGAAAGCCUGAUCCAGCCAUGCCGCGUGUGUGAAGAAGGUCUUCGGAUAGUAAAGCAAUUUAAGUUGGGAGGAAGGGCAGUAAGUUAAUACCUUGCUGUUUUGACGUUACCGACAGAAUAAGCACCGGCUAACUUCGUG